ensembl:snoRNA small nucleolar RNA SNORD66
CUCUAGUGAUGACUUCUUUUUAGUGCCACGUGUCUGGGCCACUGAACUUUUUGUGAUGGUAUUGAGGAACUGAAGGAG